UCUGUGAGUAAACGGGUGGUACCCGAAAGUUCGAAAGGGGAGAUUCAAGUCUCGCCGCGCGCCGGGCGGUGGCCGCGAACAGAGAUGGUGUCUUUGAGGGCGAGGGGCAACCCUUGUCCCGGAGACGCCACUCCGCGGGCGCUGAUCAUCUCGGCGUCGGAGUGACGCACUUCUCCCCCAGUAGGACGUCGCGACCCGUCGAGCGCCGGCCUAAGGUCCUGAGUGGAGUCUGUGCGGUCUGUUUACGCCGACCGCGCAUGACCUCGGGAUUCCCGGCCGGGAGCUCGACGGUACAAAGCUUGGAAGGAGUCGACGCGCCACUCGUUGGCGUCCGGCCCACCGCAAGCGCCCACGGUAGUCCGGGUUGCGGGCCCGGCCCGAUUCCGGUCCUUCCGUGGGGCUGUUUGCGAUUAGGUGGUGUUCUCGGAUGGCGUUGAUUCUCCAGUCAGCGACGCUUCAGCUUGGAUGGCCUACCCGACCC
rnacentral:rRNA from 1 species